AUUGAACGCUGGCGGCAGGCCUAACACAUGCAAGUCGAGCGGAUGAGGGGAGCUUGCUCCCUGAUUUAGCGGCGGACGGGUGAGUAAUGUAUAGGGAGCUGCCCGAUAGAGGGGGAUACCAGUUGCAAACGACUGUUAAUACCGCAUAAUGUCUACGGAACAAAGUGUGGGACCUUCGGGCCACAUGCUAACGGCUGCCCCUAUAUGGGCUUAGCCAGUUGGUGGGGUAACGGCUCACCAAGGCGACGAUCCCUAGCUGGUUUGAGAGGAUGAUCAGCCACACUGGAACUGAGACACGGUCCAGACUCCUACGGGAGGCAGCAGUGGGGAAUAUUGGACAAUGGGCGCAAGCCUGAUCCAGCCAUGCCGCGUGUGUGAAGAAGGCCUUCGGGUUGUAAAGCACUUUCAGCGAGGAGGAAGGGAUGUAUGUUAAUAGCAUGCAUUUUUGACGUUACUCGCAGAAGAAGCACCGGCUAACUCUGUGCCAGCAGCCGCAGUAAGAC
rnacentral:rRNA from 1 species